GAAGACAGCUCUGCUGGUCUGAGCCAG
rnacentral:piRNA from 1 species